GACGAACGCUGGCGGCGUGCCUAAUACAUGCAAGUCGAGCGGACCGAACGAGAGCUUGCUCUUGUUUGGUCAGCGGCGGACGGGUGAGUAACACGUGGGCAACCUGCCCGCAAGACCGGGAUAACUCCGGGAAACCGGAGCUAAUACCGGAUAACACCAAAGACCGCAUGGUCUUUGGUUGAAAGGCGGCUUCGGCUGCCACUUGCGGAUGGGCCCGCGGCGCAUUAGCUAGUUGGUGAGGUAACGGCUCACCAAGGCGACGAUGCGUAGCCGGCCUGAGAGGGUGACCGGCCACACUGGGACUGAGACACGGCCCAGACUCCUACGGGAGGCAGCAGUAGGGAAUCUUCCGCAAUGGACGAAAGUCUGACGGAGCGACGCCGCGUGAGCGAAGAAGGCCUUCGGGUCGUAAAGCUCUGUUGUGAGGGACGAAGGAGCGCCGUUUGAAUAAGGCGGCGCGGUGACGGUACCUCACGAGAAAGCCCCGGCUAACUACGUGCCAGCAGCCGCGGUAAUACGUAGGGGGCGAGCGUUGUCCGGAAUUAUUGGGCGUUAAGCGCGCGCAGGCGGUCCUUUAAGUCUGAUGUGAAAGCCCACGGGCUCAACCCUGGAAGGGUUCAUUGGAAACUGGGGGACUUGAUUGCAGGAGAGGAGAGCGGAAUUCCACGUGUAGCGGUGAAAUGCGUAGAGAUGUGGAGGAACACCAGUGGCGAAGGCGGCUCUCUGGCCUGUAACUGACGCUGAGGCGCGAAAGCGUGGGGAGCAAACAGGAUUAGAUACCCUGGUAGUCCACGCCGUAAACGAUGAGUGCUAAGUGUUAGAGGGGUCACACCCUUUAGUGCUGUAGCUAAUGCGAUAAGCACUCCGCCUGGGGAAUACGGCCGCAGGGCUGAAACUCAAAGGAAUUGACGGGGGCCCGCACAAGUGGUGGAGCAUGUGGUUUAAUUCGAAGCAACGCGAAGAACCUUACCAGGUCUUGACAUCCCCUGACAACCCAAGAGAUUGGGCGUUCCCCCUUCGGGGGGACAGGGUGACAGGUGGUGCAUGGUUGUCGUCAGCUCGUGUCGUGAGAUGUUGGGUUAAGUCCCGCAACGAGCGCAACCCUUGCCUCUAGUUGCCAGCAUUCAGUUGGGCACUCUAGAGGGACUGCCGGCUAAAAGUCGGAGGAAGGUGGGGAUGACGUCAAAUCAUCAUGCCCCUUAUGACCUGGGCUACACACGUGCUACAAUGGGCGGUACAAAGGGCUGCGAACCCGCGAGGGGGAGCGAAUCCCAAAAAGCCGCUCUCAGUUCGGAUUGCAGGCUGCAACUCGCCUGCAUGAAGCCGGAAUCGCUAGUAAUCGCGGAUCAGCAUGCCGCGGUGAAUAAAAUCCCGGGCCU
rnacentral:rRNA from 1 species